rnacentral:rRNA from 1 species
ACUCCUGCGGGAGGCAGCAGUGGGGAAUAUUGGACAAUGGGCGCAAGCCUGAUCCAGCCAUGCCGCGUGAGUGAUGAAGGCCCUAGGGUUGUAAAGCUCUUUCACCGGAGAAGAUAAUGACGGUAUCCGGAGAAGAAGCCCCGGCUAACUUCGUGCCAGCAGCCGCGGUAAUACGAAGGGGGCUAGCGUUGUUCGGAAUUACUGGGCGUAAAGCGCACGUAGGCGGAUCGAUCAGUCAGGGGUGAAAUCCCAGGGCUCAACCCUGGAACUGCCUUUGAUACUGUCGAUCUGGAGUAUGGAAGAGGUGAGUGGAAUUCCGAGUGUAGAGGUGAAAUUCGUAGAUAUUCGGAGGAACACCAGUGGCGAAGGCGGCUCACUGGUCCAUUACUGACGCUGAGGUGCGAAAGCGUGGGGAGCAAACAGGAUUAGAUACCCCGGUAGUCCCA